UUGAUUCAUAUGAUGAUCAAUUGCAUAGUUCAGAUGAGAUUGUCAAUCACUGAUUAAUGUAUUGAAAUAGUCUUUCGCUUCUAUCUGAUGACUCAU